CUGUGUGUUGUUGGGUAGGGGAGCGUUCUGUAAGCCUGUGAAGGUGUGUCGUGAGGCAUGCUGGAGGUAUCAGAAGUGCGAAUGCUGACAUAAGUAACGAUAAAGCGGGUGAAAAGCCCGCUCGCCGGAAGACCAAGGGUUCCUGUCCAACGUUAAUCGGGGCAGGGUGAGUCGACCCCUAAGGCGAGGCCGAAAGGCGUAGUCGAUGGGAAACGGGUUAAUAUUCCCGUACUUGGUGUUACUGCGAAGGGGGGACGGAGAAGGCUAUGUUGGCCGGGCGACGGUUGUCCCGGUUUAAGCGUGUAGGCUGGUUUUCCAGGCAAAUCCGGAAAAUCAAGGCUGAGGCGUGACGACGAGGCACUACGGUGCUGAAGCAACAAAUGCCCUGCUUCCAGGAAAAGCCUCUAAGCAUCAGGUAACAUCAAAUCGUACCCCAAACCGACACAGGUGGUCAGGUAGAGAAUACCAAGGCGCUUGAGAGAACUCGGGUGAAGGAACUAGGCAAAAUGGUGCCGUAACUUCGGGAGAAGGC
rnacentral:rRNA from 1 species